rnacentral:tRNA from 1 species
GCGUCCGUAGCUCAGUUGGUUAGAGCACCACCUUGACAUGGUGGGGGUCGGUGGUUCGAGUCCUCUCGGACGCACCA